rnacentral:rRNA from 1 species
UACGUAGGGGGGCAAGCGUUGUCCGGAUUUAUUGGGCGUAAAGAGCGUGUAGGCGGCCAGGUAGGUCUGCUGUGAAAACUCGAGGCUUAACCUCGAGCUGUCGGCGGAAACCAUCUGGCUAGAGUCCGGAAGAGGAGAAUGGAAUUCCAGGUGUAGCGGUGAAAUGCGUAGAUAUCUGGAGGAACACCGGUGGCGAAGGCGGCAUCCUGGACCAUUACUGACACUGAAUAGCGAAAGCCAGGGGAGCAAACGGG